GCGCGCAGCCUGAUGCAGCCAUGCCGCGUGUAUGAAGAAGGCCUUCGGGUUGUAAAGUACUUUCAGCGGGGAGGAAGGGAGUAAAGUUAAUACCUUUGCUCAUUGACGUUACCCGCAGAAGAAGCACCGGCUAACUCCGUGCCAGCAGCCGCGGUAAUA
rnacentral:rRNA from 1 species